rnacentral:lncRNA from 1 species
AGGAAUGAACACGCGUAGGGGAGCAAUGUUUUCACGAUUGUUUCACGACAAUCUGCCGUCCUUCGAUGAUCCAUCGAGGGGAGGGAGGGUUCGUUAUUGCGAAACGCCUUCGGUGCACACCUCUGAGGAAGAAGAAUCUUCGUUUCCGCCACAGUUGUACAGGUGAUCCGUGAUCGCGAAUACGAGGAAAGAAGAAAAAAGGAAAAAAGAAAAAAAGAAAAAAAAAACGGAGAAGAAAUAAAUCGAGAAAUGGAAAGGGAGAAAGAGGAGGGGGUGUUUGUAAAUUGUGCGAAAAACGAGAAGAGAGGAAAAGAGAAAGGUGGAGGAACAACGAGUGGAAAAUAAAGGAAAUGAAAAUGGUGUGAGAAGACCAUCUACGGGAUUAUUAUCGUUAAUUCCACCUUUCGACACAGAUACAAGCGUAUAUAUAUAUAUAUAUAUACUCACAAAAGAGAAUGGAAGGGAUGGGGAAAUGCAUAGAGAGGGAGAAAAAACUGUAUAGAAGGAAAGGGAACCGGAAACGAAAAAAAGCGUACACACUUCUAAAGUAAGGACAUGCAUAUGCAUUACAUAUACACACGACAUACACACACACGCGAGCACAUACACACGCGCAUAUACGGAGAAUUCUCACGAGUAAAAAAGCAAAAAAAAAAAAAAAAAAAAAAGGAAUUAAAAAUAAAACCAAAAAAAAACAAAACAAAAAAAAAAACAAAAAAUGGAGUAAAAAAACAAAGAAACACGUAUACGUGAAAAGUCGUAACGUAAAAAUUCUUGUAUUAAUUAAGGGGAAAAAAAGAAAAAAAAAAAGUAAGUCGCCUUGAUGCUGGAGGCGGUUGUUCGUGUAAUCUUUAUUACUUGAUAAGUAAACGUUCAAACAUCGUUGGACAACAACAACAACAACAACAACAACAACACACGCAUUCAAAGAGUACAAAUUCCUGUAAGUCCCUCGUUGGUUGUUCGAGGCUUGAACCGGCACCACCUGUUGUUGUUGCGCGAUCACGAUAUUUCCAUUGAGAAAACCAGGAGAAUCGGCGUUUCUUAGGGGGUCAGGGAAGAGUGGGAAGGCACAGGACGAAACCGAAAAUAAGGGAGGAGGGGGAACAAUGUUUCUAGCGUGCGCGAGAAAAAUGAUGGAGAAGGCGAGAGCUAAUUGGAAAGAACGUUGUAAAGUGGAGAGAAAGUGUUUGGAUGAAAAUAAGGUCGUACAAGGGUCCAAAGAGAUCCGGAAUAAGGGAUCGAUCGAUAGUGGCGACUGUCGCGUAGAACGAACACCUCUUCGAAGGAGAGACCACCUCGAAGUUUUCACUUUGCGGCUCGAGUGAUUAAACUUCGUUGGUUAAAAAAAUAAAAGGAGGCGUCGAAUCCAAGAUACGAUUAGGCCAAUGGGACGUAUCUCGUUUGGCGCAAAAUUCUAAAUCUCGAGAAACUCGAGUUUUCUCAAUGGCCUGGCAAAGAAACUGGAUCAUUAAUCGUUCGGUUUCGAAAAAUUGCGAGUGAAAAAGAAUCUUCUCGGUCUCCUUUCGAUAGGUCUUUUUCGGAUCUCGCGACAGAAAUCGAUGCGCAGAGAUUGAUCCCUUAACCGGAUCGAAACAACGAGGCAGCGAGUUGUUCGAGAGUCGAGUUUUCUGGCUAGGUUUACGCAGACCAGAUAGACUGAUUACCAAACGUAACGAGUGAUCUCUGAUUUAAAAACAAACGAAGAAUAAAAAGAAAAAAAAAAAUAGAAAAAAAUAAAACGAAAAAAAGACAAAACGACAAAACGGUUUUAAAAACGGCGUUAGUUUUUAAGUAAAGAAAAUAAAAACGAGGAAAAAAAUAAUAAUAAUAAUAUGCGGUAAAUAACCUUUCGCGGGAUAGGAUCUCGGGACAGGGUAAGACGAACCGAAUCUGGAGGACGCGGUUUCACGGGGUGAUUGCGAUUGGAUUUCACCUGCGAAACGAACAAUUGGAUGAUACUUCGAUGAAAGUGAUGUAGCUGUAAGAGAACGAAAUUUGAGAACUGGAAGACGAAGAUUCGUGCCGAUUAAAUGUCGAUGUUGUUGGAUCAAAUGACAGUCAAUAUGACGGAUAGAGUGGUGUCGCUUCGAGGAGCUGUCCUAUGAUGCAAAGAACGAAUGAAUUUAAGAAGUGAAAGAGAGGAGGGCGAAGUCUCGAAUCCCAUCAGGAAAGCGACCAAGCCGAAUGAAAUAUUUUCAAGGCAAGCCGCGACUUUUUAAUAUUAAAUGAUACUAUACUCCCGUAUAGUCGUUGUUGUAUCAACAAUCGACCUUAUUCUAUAGCUGAGACGCAAUCAUAUUGGUUGUUGCAGAAGAUUUAUCCGCGGCCACGCGCUCGCGUGCGCGUGUAUACACAUCAAAUAUAAAACGGUGGGACUCGAGAUUCGUUCGAACGAUUGAAGAAAAAUAUUCUGGUGAUCGACAAUUCAAGAUGAAUCUGGAAAGUUCUUCGAAGAUGGCUUCUUCUUUUUUUUUUUUUUUAGGUAAGUAAAUUCCUCUUCGUUGGCAUUUUAGUUUUGUAACGAAAAAUGAAGCUUUUCAUUUAUGUAGAGUUUUGGAAAUUGUCAAAUUUUCUAGACGUGUUCUAAUCUCUUGAAAAUUGCUUUGCUUCAUCGAUGAUCGUGCUCGCGCGAAUCGCGACAUCGUUGGAGCAAUCAAAAGACACAUAUCUAAUCGAUGGUUUGUGCAUUUUUUUGCAAUUUUAAUUUUAUUUUCAUUCUGAUAGGAUAAUACAUUGGCUGUCAUUUGUAAAGCUCAUAAAAAAAUUUUUUAAAAAUCAGAAACGAAGAGAAGCGAAAGAAAACUGGGACUAAACGCCGUUAAUUUUCGACAGGGAACGAUUAGAGUAUUCCUAGGAAAUCGCUAGGAAAGAUGAAUAUACCAUGAGAGCAAGAAAAAGGAGAAGAAUAAAAAGGUUUGAAAGGGAUAGAACGAGGGAACCACCAAGAACCACCACAAAGAGAAACAUAAAAAAUGAAAAAAAAAUAUAUAUAUAUAUAUAUAUAAAGAAAAGAAAAGAAAAAAAAAACUUAAAAAUAAGGUGAAUUACACAAAACGUCUACAUAAAGUAACGUUAACCCUCUCACCGAUCUUUUCCAAAUCGGAUCUCUCUUUUGAGAGUGAAUAAUAAAUAAAAACAAACGUAAUUAACAUUAUACAAGUAAGAAAUGAUUAUUUUUAUUAAGUGAUUAACGAUGAAUGUCUCUUGAACGUGUAGAUGAACGCACCUUCGUGAAAUUUGUAAUUCCUUUUUCUUUCUUCUUUUUUUUUUUUUUUAUUUCAAUUCUUCCCUUUUUCAUUCUCUUUUUCCCCAUUUUAUUUCUCGCAAACGUAUUGCAUAUUUUCACGAAUUUUUGUUUUCGUUUCGCCAUCUCCAUCCAGUUGUUGUACGUUUCGCGUGUUCGUAAAAUAUCUUUUACGAAAAAAAAAAAAAAAAAGCCACACACCACACAAGAAAAAACGAAAAAAAAAAAAGAAAAAAAAUAAUUAAUAAAGAAAAAAAACGAAAUGAAUCUUAUCGUUUUUUUGGGUUCGUAGUACCUUGUAGCGAGAUAAAGAUGUAUGUAUUCUAUAUAUUAAACAGGGACAUACUCGCCCGAUGUAUUACGAUUUAAUUUUCAAUGUCGAUGAAAAUCAGGGGGAAAAAAAAA